rnacentral:rRNA from 1 species
CCUACGGGAGGCAGCAGUGGGGAAUAUUGCACAAUGGGGGAAACCCUGAUGCAGCGACGCCGCGUGAGUGAAGAAGUAUUUCGGUACGUAAAGCUCUAUCAGCAGGGAAGAAAAUGACGGUACCUGACUAAGAAGCCCCGGCUAACUACGUGCCAGCAGUCGCGGUAAUACGUAGGGGGCAAGCGUUAUCCGGAUUUACUGGGUGUAAAGGGAGCGUAGACGGCAGCGCAAGUCUGGAGUGAAAUCCCAUGGCUUAACCAUGGAACUGCUUUGGAAACUGUGCAGCUAGAGUGCAGGAGAGGUAAGCGGAAUGCCUAGUGUAGCGGUGAAAUGCGUAGAUAUUAGGAGGAACACCAGUGGCGAAGGCGGCUUACUGGACUGUAACUGACGUUGAGGCUCGAAAGCGUGGGGAGCAAACAGGAUUAGAUACCCCUGUAGUC